AAGAUACUACUUGAACGAGUUCUCAAUGUCGAUUACAAAGCGAAAUCUGACAUCCCGGUCAACAAGCCUCUGAAGAGCCUCGUUGAUGUAAUCUAUCUUGAUCAUCUCGAUAUCUGGGUAGAUUUUGUUUGCCGCACAGAAGUUUAUCAUCUCCUGGAUGUCCUUCGUACCUCCAGUUACACUACCAGAUAAACUCCGCCCACCUACAUGAGUUUGCAGGAUGCACUUUGAUUUCACUUGGGAAGCUAAGUAGUGCCAUUACACCACCAACUUUCAGAAGCGUGAGAUAAGGAUCGAAUGGGUGAUCGCCGGAGGCUGUGUCAAUAAUGAAGUUCAGAGAGCUUUUCAAGACCUCCAUCUGAUUUUCAUCCGAUGACACCACGAAAUUAUCUGCACCAAGAAGGUCAAUAGCUUCUUUUCUCUUUGAUUCACUAGUACUAAUAACUGUGACUUUCAGUCCAAAGGCUUUCCCAAAUUUUACUGCCAUGUGACCCAAGCCACCAAGUCCAAUGACGCCGAGUGACUUCCCUGGCUGGUUCAUAUUAUGCCGCAUCAUCGGACUAUAUACAGUGAUGCCAGCACAAAGUAAAGGUGCUGCCUUUUCCAAAGGGUAGCCAUCAGGUAUUUUAAAGCAAUACCUUCAUGUACUACUAUGUGAGUAGAAUAUCCUCCCUUUGUGACAGUCCCAUCAGUGUCAACACCAUUGAAAGUGAAGACAUGUUGUGAGCAGUAGUUCUCUAGAGAGCUAUUGCAGUUCUCACAGUCCCGGCAUGAAUUCACGUAUGUGCCAACACCUACAUGGUCACCCACUUUGAAGCUCUUGACGUCUGCACCAACCUCAGUUACAACUCCUGCUAUCUCAUGCCCAGGGACUAAAGGGUACAUCGAAUUGUUGAGUAUAUUCCUUGUCCAUGCAACAUCAGCAUAACAAACACCACAGUGUGUGAUCCUCAAGGAAACAUCGUCACUUUUGUGAUUUAACCUGCGGUUGAACUUGUACGGGGAGAGGAUCCCUGAAGGAUCUCUCGCUGCCCAAGCAUCACAGUUGCCACUUCCACAUUCAGCAGCCAUGCC
rnacentral:sRNA from 1 species